AUUGAACGCUGGCGGCAUGCUUUACACAUGCAAGUCGAACGGUAACAGGCCUUCGGGUGCUGUCGAGUGGCGAACGGGUUCGUAAUGCAUCGGAACGUACCCAGAGGUGGGGGAUAACGCAGCGAAAGCUGUGCUAAUACCGCAUGUGAUCUGAGGAUGAAAGCGGGGGACCGAGCAGCAAUGUUUGUCCUCGCGCCUUUGGAGCUGCCGCUGUCGGAUUAGCUAGUUGGUGGGGUAAAGGCCUACCAAGGCGACGAUCCGUAGCUUGUCUGAGAGGACGAACAGACACACUGGGAAUGAGACACGACCCAGACCCCGAAGGGAGGCAGCAGUGGGGAAUUUAGACAAUGGGCGCAAGCCUGAUCCAGCAAGGCCGCGUGAGGGAAGAAGGCCUUCGAGUUGUAAACCGCUUUUGGCAGGAACGAAACGGGGUCGGCUAAAACAGGGCGAAAAUGACGGUACCUGCAGAAUAAGCACCGGAUAACUAAGUG
rnacentral:rRNA from 1 species